rnacentral:rRNA from 1 species
GGGCUGAAGGCGGUCCCAAGGGUUAGGCUGUUCGCCUAUUAAAGCGGUACGCGAGCUGGGUUCAGACCGGCGUGAGCCAGGUCGGUCCCUAUCUGCUGUGGGCGUUGCAAGCUUGAGAGGAGUCAACCUUAGUACGAGAGGACUGGGUUGGACGAACCCCUGGUGAUCCUGUUGCGCCGCUAGGCGCACCGCAGGGUAGCUACGUUCGGCAGGGAUAACCGCUGAAAGC